rnacentral:rRNA from 1 species
GACGAACGCUGGCGGCGUGCUUAACACAUGCAAGUCGAACGGAAAGGCCCUGCUUGCGGGGUACUCGAGUGGCGAACGGGUGAGUAAAACGUGGGUGAUCUGCCCUGCACUUCGGGAUAUGCCUUGGGAACUGGGUCUAUUACCGGAGAGGGGCCAUUCUUAGGGAGGGGGUGGGAAGGAUUUUUGGGUUUGGGAUGGGCUGGCGGCCUGUCAGCUUGUUGGUGGGGUAAUGGCCUACCAACGCGGCGAUGGGUAGGCGGCCUGGGGGGGUGGACGGCCCCAAUGGGACUGGGGUACGGCCCAGACCCCUACGGGGAGGAAGAGGUGGGAAUUUUGCAAAAUGGGCGGGAGCCUGAUUCAGGGAAGCCGGGGGGGGGAUGACCGCCUUCGGGUUGGAAACUCGCUUCGCUCGGGACGAAGCUGUUUGUGACGGUACCUGGUUAAGAAGCACCGGCUAACUACGUG